AAUGACUUGACUGAGGUUUGAGUUUAAAGUAUGCUCAUUACGAAGCCAGAAUGAGAGAAUAAGUCACAGAACAACAGAGUGAGCCUGGUUAGCUUCCCCUAUCUGCAUCUGUCAGCUUUGGAGAGUUUACAUAUUACACAAUUUCUUUUAAUCCUCACACUAAUUUCAUUCUUUCCUGUCUUCACAGAUGACGAAUUGUGUGGGUAGCUGUGGUGUUAGUUAAGGUUUCCUUGGUUGCAGGCAACAAAACCAUAUCUAAAAUGAGUUUAAGCAAAAAUGGAUACUUACUAGCUCCUAUAACUGGGAAAUUGGGCUAGAUGGGUGUACCUUCAGGUACAGCUGGAUUCAGGGGUUCAAGUAGGGUGCUUAGUGUUCCUGCUCUUUCUUUUGUGGGUUUGUCUCCCUUUGUCUCUUUAUUUCAUUCCAAGACAGAUCUAUGAGGAAAGAUAUCCCAGAGGCCUAUGGAUCCAUAGACAGAGAUGAAUAAGGAAGAAUGACUCUUUGCUUCCCUGUAUGUAUGUGUACAUAUGGCCAUGUAGGGCUCUGUGACUGGCUUAGUCUGAGUCAUGUGUAAACUCUGCAGAAACCAUCAUCUCAGUUAGGAUUAUAUUCUCUGUGAGUAAUAAAGAUUUAAAAUAACAGUGACUUAAAAUAGAGGUUUACUUCUGUAGUGCAAAUAUCUGCAGCUAA
rnacentral:lncRNA from 1 species